rnacentral:rRNA from 1 species
AAUGAACGCUGGCGGCGCGCCUAAUACAUGCAAGUCGAGCGAGAAGACGUAGCAAUACGUUUGUAAAGCGGCAAACGGGUGAGGAAUACAUGGGUAACCUACCCUAGAGUGGGGAAUAACUAGCCGAAAGGUUAGCUAAUACCGCGUACGCUCCUUGGACUUCGGUUCAGGGAGGAAAGCGAUGCCGAGGGUAUCGCGCUCUUGGAUGGGCUCAUGUCCUAUCAGCUUGUUGGNGAGGUAACGGCUCACCAAGGCUUCGACGGGUAGCUGGUCUGAGAGGACGAUCAGCCACACUGGCACUGCGACACGGGCCAGACUCCUACGGGAGGCAGCAGUAAGGAAUAUUGCGCAAUGGGCGAAAGCCUGACGCAGCGACGCCGCGUGGGGGAUGAA